UUUCGUUUUUUUGACUUCUUCUUUUUUUUCUUCUUCUUCGUGUUUGAUGAGAUUGUAGUAUCGGGAGAAAUGUCAGUGAUGGUGUUUG
rnacentral:ribozyme from 11 species